GUUCCCUGGGUGGCGAGCGGCGGACGGGUGAGUAAUGGCUGGGAACCUGCCCUGAUGUGGGGGAUAACAGUUGGAAACGACUGCUAAUACCGCAUGAUGUCUACGGACCAAAGAGGAGGACCUUCGGGCUUCUCGCGUCAGGAUGGGCCCAGUUGGGAUUAGCUAGUUGGUGAGGUAAUGGCUCACCAAGGCGACGAUCCCUAGCUGGUUUGAGAGGAUGAUCAGCCACACUGGAACUGAGACACGGUCCAGACUCCUACGGGAGGCAGCAGUGGGGAAUAUUGCACAAUGGGCGCAAGCCUGAUGCAGCCAUGCCGCGUGUGUGAAGAAGGCCUUCGGGUUGUAAAGCACUUUCAGCAGUGAGGAAGGUAGCGUAGUUAAUACCUGCGUUGCUUGACGUUAGCUGCAGAAGAAGCACCGGCUAACUCCGUGCCAGCAGCCGCGGUAAUACGGAGGGUGCGAGCGUUAAUCGGAAUUACUGGGCGUAAAGCGCAUGCAGGCGGUCUGUUAAGCAAGAUGUGAAAGCCCCGGGCUUAACCUGGGAACUGCAUUUUGAACUGGCAGGCUAGAGUCUUGUAGAG
rnacentral:rRNA from 1 species